AUUUUUUUGAUAAAAUCAAAAUCACCCACCUCAUUAUCUCUUCCAGCAUUACUCUCUUUCGUUUUAAACAUCCUCAUCAUCUUCUUAUUUACUUCUUUUUCAAACAAAACAAUCAAAUAUAAACAAAAGAAGAACAAGGUGUGGCAGUGCAAGCGAGCAGGGGUGGCGGGAGAGUGGUUCGCGGUGGCGAUCGGUAGUCGAUGCACCGGCGCUACUGCGAACCUUAUUUUUUUCAAAUUUUUUUACUUUUCUUUCUCGUCUUGCUCUCCCAGUUCUAAAUCCGAACUUAAUUUCUCAAAAAAGUUUUAA